UUGAGAAGGAAACGGAUAGAUAUACGUUCUUGCUAUCAGGUAAAACAAUUUAAAUGUACAGAACAAACACAUUUACUUCACACAAAUAGUACAGGCUUAAGCUUUUUAUUGUCUAGCUUAUACACGACUGUAGUCAAGUGUUUAAACGACGGCGGUGACCUACAAGGUACGGGUCAUACUUGGUCAAGUCUAAAUAUGUAAACACAUAUCCACGUGCUAUUAGGUAGAACGCAUCGUAAUGCAAUAUCUACAAUUUUUCCUCCUUUAUACAUCGUUUAACCUGAUAUAUUUCUCCUUUUUUCAUCGUUUAACCAGAUUUAUUUCUCUUUCAAAUACACUUAAACACGGGUUGUAUGUACGUAUCUUUUCUAGUGUUUUCUUGUUGUUAUUAAAGUUCAUUUGUUGAUGUUUAGAAAUUUUUGAACGACUGAACACAGGAGUGAAUGAAUGCAACAAUUAUAUAUACUGAAGACUUGGGCUGUACAAUGAUAGUGGCACAAACCCACUUUAAAGAGACUUGUCUACUGCCAUACCCAUCCUAUUUUCAUGCACCAUUUGCAAGCAAGAGACUGAAUGGUUUGCAAAAUUAAAAAUCAGGAUGGUGUCCAAUUAAAACAAAAGAACUAAACUGGAUGCAUAUUGUAGGAGAAAUCUAGACAUGCUAGAGGAAAGUUUUGAUUUGUGAAAUUGGUUUUCCUGAAAAGUCAUUCAUCCUAGCCUGCAGAAAGGAACUAUAACUGUCCACCACCAACUGACGAGCUAAUGUUGAGCUUCACAUAUGGAAUUACUCAAAUACCAUCAAUGUCUAUGUUUUCAGCACAAAUUUCACAAUUUAUGACACAGCUGUGCUUUUUUUAUACCGUUAAAAGAGUUGUAUACCAAAUUUUAUUUUUUUAUCAAUAAAUAUAUAUUAUAUUAAUUGUGUCAUCUAAGAACAAAGUCUUGUAUUUUGCCAAAAGAUGCAUACUAGUGAAUGAAAGUGGUGCAGUUCAUUUUGCUUUGGUAUAUAGAAUUGAAUUACAAUUGUUCAUGUUAUUGGAAUGCAUAUAAAAAUAAGGAGAUGUGGUACAAUGUAUAUGAUAUAUAGUGAGUUUAUCAAGCAAAAGUGAAUAAGAAAUAGGUAUAAGCAGUUACAGGUACUACUGUACAAUCUCAAACAAGGAGAAAAACUCAUACCGUAAAGAGAAUUUCAUAUUUACAAGUAAGUUUUGUUUUUGCGUUGAAUAAUUUUCUUCUAUUGUUUUAAUUGCAAAUAUGGGAAGUGGUUAAAAUGCUAAUGAGACAGCUGUUAUGGCCACAGAGCCUUAAUUGAAAACUUCUUUUUCAUUCAUACCGGUAGAUUUUGCCUGGAGUAAGAAACAUAUCUGCCAACUUUUCAAAAUGCACAUGGGGGUUUUACGUGAAAGAUGGUUCAUAUAGUCAUACAAAACCUUCAAGGGGACCUUCAAAUGGAAGCAGGACAAGUCACCCCACUGGCUAAUCGGCCCACUUUUUAAAAAAACACCACAAACUGAUUUAUCAAAUCACCCCACAUGUGAAAUUGGUUUAAUCAUGUUUAAUAUUACUCCUGCCAACUCGCCCCACAUGUGAAAUUGGUUAAAUCAUUUUAAAUCAGGGUUCUCACUAAGGAUUUUUGAAGGCGAGUCCAGGGACUCGUCAUUUUUGGCCACGGUGAGUCAUGGUAACUGUGUUCAGUUUAUACAAAAUAUUUCAAUAUUGAUGUAUUUGUGGACUCACCAGUUUUGAAAAUGGUGAGUCCAGACAGAUUUUGUUGAGUCCAGGACUCAUGGACUCGCCUUAGCGAGAACCCUGUUUAAUAUUACUCCUGCCAACUCGCCCUACUUAUAAAAAAACGGUAACUUUUAGAUUAAUAUAUAUAUAUAUAUAUAUAAUUA